AUGACUGUAGCAUAGACUCUGGACUUAGCCCAAGAUCACAUUUAUUAGCUAUGAGAUAGAUAUGAUUUGGCUCUGUGUCCCCACCCAAAUCUCACCUUGAAAUAUAAUAAUCCCCGCGUGCCAAGGGCAGGACCAGAUGCAGAUAAUUGAAUCAUGGGGGCAGUUUCCAUCAUGCCGUUCUCACGAUAAUGAGUGGGUCUCAUGAGAUCUGAUGGGUUUAUAAGAGGCAUCCCCCUUCGCUCGGCACUCAUUCUCUCUCCUGCUGCCCUGUGAAAGGGCACCUUCUGCCAUGAUUGUAAGUUUUCUGAGGCCUCCCCACCCCUGCAGAACUGUGAGUCAAUUAAACCUCUUUCCUUUAUAAAUUACCCAGUGUCGGGUAUUUCUUCGUAGCAGCGUGAGAACAGACUAAUACAGAGAUCUUGGUCAAAUUAAUCUUUCUGAGGCUCCUUUUUGAUACCUGCAUAGCUGUCACUGUGAUUCUUGCUUGGAUUCUCACACCCUGGGAGGGUCAGGAUUGCUAGGCAAAGGUUAACAAGGGUUAGUAUUAUUAUUAUUUUUUUAACUUGAACCAUUCAAUGUAUGGGCUGGGACCUGUGGGCUUCUUGCAAUAUCUUACUCUAAAAAAAGAUGUACAUGUGAUGGUUGCAGGAGUUCCCGUAUAAAUUCCCCUCCAAGGUGCAAGGGACUCACAACUCUAGUAUUAAUGACGACAAUAAAACAACAACCUCAAAAUAAAUAAAAGCCUUUCUUUCUCUUUUAACCAAUCUUUGACUUGUACGGGGUUGGGGAAACAGUUUCUUCACCCUCUUGCCCUGUUCUUCACUUUUUCCUAAGAAACUGAGGUACUAAACUAUGUUGGAUUCUCUGCUGCUGGGGUGGUCCAUAUUCACUAGUGGGAAGUUCAUCAUAGGCUAAAAUUUACUUUCUCCUUUAAUCUUAUGGCUAGAUUGGUGACAGGGCCUUAGUUUAGCCAUCUCUUCUUUUCUUCUUGUACUCAGGGUUUUAUGCUGGAACACACACUCCCUCUCUAUCUAUCACUUAGACAUUAGGUUCAGAAGAUCUGUCUGCCUGAUGACAGAUAACUUUUUAUAGAAGAGCUGUUUUUUAUGGUAGAGUACAUUUCAUUUGUUUGUUGUCUUGUUUUAAUAAAAGACCCUGUCUCUGAAAUUUCUCCAGGUUAAUUUUAUUUCUUUUUCCAUGCAAUACUUUCCUUAUUUAUUACUUCUGUCUCCUGUUCCAUGUGAGCAGCCCAAGGAUGCUAAGAUUCUAAGAUAAGAUAUUUAAUUUAGAGUUUGGUGGUCUGGACUGUGAUCUGAGAGUAUGCCAUGUGUCCUAGGCAAAUUACCAGAAAGUUCUGCAUUUGUUUAUUUGGCAUUAGCCAGGCUAAUAAUGAAGCGGACUUUAAUUUCUCAUUUGCUGUGGUCCCUUGUUUUUAUGGGGACAUUACAGGAAAAAGCUGUGAGAUUAAGGCAGGAUUCAUAUGUUCCUGUUCCCCUGUCCCCAGGAAAAUGCCAUCUAAUGUUAUAAAAUGUCAUCCCUCUUUCUAAAACAUCACUUUUCCAUUGAGAAUACAGCCAUCAAAACUUUUUCUAGAUUUGAAGCAUAUGCACAAUUCUUUUCCAAAUCUUUACUUAAUUAACGUGCCAAUACAGAUGAAAUUUGAAUAAUAAUGAGGUAACAAUACAGUUGGAAAGUACUUAGUUGUGGUCCCAGAUACCAAGGCAAUGAGAUCUCGGCUGCGAAGUGUGUCAUCAGCAUCUGGCUUUCUGGGUUAUGAUGUGGUCAGGGAUGUGUCUUCUGGCCCAUUUUGGAGGCGCAAAAAUGGUGAUCCAUGUUUGGAUUUAUGUGGAAGGGACAGUUCCACAGUAUGGAAAAGGGGAGACAGUCCCAGGAAGCGUGAAGAGGAAAGGUCAUUGGUAAGUCACUACUCUUUGCUCAGAGUCCCACAGCAAACAGCUCCUCUUGCUCAGGCAGGUGGCUGGAUCUUCUGUCCCAUCUCUCCCUUAGGUGAGGUCCUUGUUUUUCUUUGCCUUCGCUCCUUUUAUACCAGCAUGGCUCAGUGGCUCAGUGGCUCAGUGAGGCAAACUGAGGCAAGUUGAACUGUAAACAACCUGGAGCUUCUCAGAUGAAAAUUCCAGUUUCCUCUAAAUUCUAGAGAUUUUUCCUAAUUAAAUACAGUUAAGUAAGUCAAUCGUGUGUGGAUUUUCCCAUCACUGUUUUAUCCAGGCUCUUAAAUGUGUCUUUUCCUCCCUACUUGUUUAAUAACUUUAAUCAAUUUUACUGAUCUUAGAAUUUUUUGGGAAGUUAGAGGUAAAAAAUUGGCAAAAAUGUAGGCCAAUUCAUUUUAAAUCUUAGUAGUUUAUCAGGUAAAGACAAAACAAAACAAACAAAAAGAAAAUAGGCUUAAUAAAAUGUGAAAUUAUUAAAAUUCCUCAUUUAAUCCUUCCUUGUUCCCAGAAAGUCUAGGUAGAAAGCAGCUAUCUUUGAUGACAGAAUGAUAAAGAAACCCACCUUUCUCCCAACAAUCCAUAAACACCCUGAGGUAAGAAACCACCUCCUAAUUCUCGAUAUAUCCCUGGUACCUAUCCCAUGCCCUAACAACUUACAGGCAAUUAGCAAAUACUUUUUGAAAUAACAUACAGAUGAAAUGAUUGACUAACAGACUGUGAUUUCCCAAUCGUUGGUUAACUAUUUAAACUAUAUUUGAAUCUCAAGUUUGCAAAAAUGGGUUGCCCACUUAUUAUAAGUCCAUCCAUGGCCCCCUCUUAGUUUACUAUAUCUUCUGUUUUCUUCUUCACCCACCACCCUUUCAUUUCCAAGUUUCCAAGUACAUUAACCUCUCUGUCAACUUUCUUAUCUAGAAUAACUGUACUAGUUAGGGAACUGCUAUCUAUUGUUUCAAAUAAACCUGAAACCUUGGUGGCUAACAAAGCUGAAAUUUAUUUUUUGUUCAUUUAAAGUUCAGUGUGUAUAUGCGUGCAUGUGUGUGUGUUUGUGUGUGUGCAUACAUGCAUAUGCAAAUACAUACAUAUGCAUUUUGAAGCACUGGGGAGGGGCUGUUUCACACAGUCAUCCAGGAACUUAGACCAAGGGAGAUCUGCAUCAAUGCAUGCUUUCCAAGGUUACCCAGAAAGAACAGAGAAAGUGGAGACUUGUGUAGAUUUUUAGGAGCCAGGCUUAGAACAGGUUACAUCAUUCCUUCCUGUAUCACCAGCCAAAACUCUGGUCCAUGGCCACAGCUAACUGCAAGGCAGUCUGGGAAAUGGGUUUGAUGAACAGGAAGUCAGUCUCAGCUUAGAAUUCUUUCAAAACAUCAUCUCUUUAAUUUUCACAAUACGGGUACAACCAGAAAAGUAGAAUAUGUUUUUGCUUUGAUGGUGGUUAGAGGGUACACAUAUUUUUCUGAAGGUAUGGAGAAUACAAUUAAUUAUGAAAUGGUAUUGGGCUCUAAAUCUCAUUUUAUUUUUCUUUCACCACUGAAGAUUCUUUUGCUAUGGUAACAUCUAGCACUUAUAUAAAGCACUUACUUAUUAUGUACCUCACACUGUUCUAAGCUCUUUGAAUGGAUACAUUUAUUUAAUACUCAUGACAACUCUGUAAAGAAACUAGUGUUAGAAAUAGAGACUGUUAUUUCUAUUUUAUAGAUGAGGAAACUGUAAAUAGUAUAACCAGAUUAUGAACCCAAGAAACUCCAGAAUAGCUCACUAUACUCUUCAUUCAUAAUUUAUAAAAGACUCAUCUGUAAUCUCCUUUAGAGUUUUUACUUAAUUUUCUUAGUUCUCUUUUGGGUGAGGCUUGUUUGAUUAUUAUUUUCAAAGGUGUAGCUUUAGGUUUGAUUAAUCAUGUCCAUUGCUAUUUAUUGUGGUUUGUUUAUUUUUUUUCUCCUUUUCUUUGCUAUCUUAUUAAUUUGUUUAUUUGGAUUUACUCUGUUGCUCUUUGUCUAAAUUUUGAAUUUAGGUACUUAAUACAUUUGUUUCCAUUUAUCUCCUAAUUUCUGAUAAAUAAAUAUGUUUACAGUUGUAAAUUUCCCCCUACAGUCUGGUUUAGCUACAUCCCAGAAAUUUUUGCAUAUUAUUUUGUCAUUGUGAUUUACCUUUUAGCACUUAAUAAUUUUCUUUAUAGUUUCUGCUUUAAUCUAGGAGUUUUGUAGUUAGUGGCUUAUAGAAACAAGGGAUUUGAAAGUCAUCUGUUUAUGAUUAGUGAAAGCCAACUGUUUUAUUAUUGAUUUCUGUUACUAUUCUGUAUUACUUAUUAUUGAUUAUAAUUUUUUUGUGGGCCAAUAGCUGAUUUGUUUUGAAAUGUUCAUGAUAUUCUCCAAAAUGAUGUGCAUUCUGCUUGUGUUGACUGUAGCAUUUCUAAAGUUAACUCUUAGAUAAAUUGUAUUUCACUGUAAAAAUCCCUUUUUUGCUUUUUUAAAGUCUUGUUGAUAUAUCAGAUCUUGAUAGGGUUGCAUUAAAAUAUCCAACUACAAUUUUUUAUUCUCUCUCCAUAUUUUUAUAAAUUGUCUUGUUCUGUAUUUUGAGGCUAGUGUAUUAGGUUCAUGUAUAUUUCUGAUUACUAUAGCUUCAUGAUCUCUUUUUCUUUUUAUCAGAAUGAGAUGCUUUCCUUCAUUUUAAAACCACAUAAGAAUUUUGUGCCUUAAAUUUUCUUUUGUCUACGUGCCAAGACAACUCAAUGAGGGAGGAAUAGUCUUUUCAGCAAAGGGUGCUAAAACAACUGGAUAUUUACCUGUAAAAUAAUGAAGUUGGAUGAAUAUCCCACAUCAUGUACAAACAUUAAUUCAAAAUAGACCUUAGCCAUAAAUACAAAAAUUAAUUCAAAAUAGACCUUAGCCAUAAAUACAAGAGCUAAAACUAUAAAAAUGGUUUUUAUAGUUUUAAAUGAAAAAAAACAUAGGAGUCAAUCUUCAUGAUUUUGGAUUAGGCAGUUGUUUACUUUAGAUUUAGUUGUUCGAUAUUCAUAACAUAGCAUACUGGGAUUUCUAGUUCAUCACCUGUUUUUGUAAAUCAAGUUUAUUGAUGGACAGCAUGCUCAUUCUCAUUCAUUUACUUUAGUCUAAGACUGCUUUCAUGCUACAAUGGUGGAUUUGCAUAGUUUAGAUUGACCAUACAAACCAUAAGUUAUAGAUUAUUUCUUACUUGGUCCUUUACAGAAAAAGUUUGUCAACCCUCCUGGUUUAGACAAUAUUAAUAGUAAUCUUCAUAAAAGUUGUUCACCUUUUCUUCCUUAUCUUCUUGUUUUCUCCUGGACUAAUUCCUAUUCUUGUUGAAGUAAUUUUCUCCAAGAGUUUCUUCAAAGAGAUCCUAUGUGUGGUAAACAUUCUAAAAACCUUAGAUGACUAAAAUUAUUCUUAUUUAGCCCUUAGAUUUAAAUACUGACUUACUUGGAUUUGUAAUUUCAGGGUCAUUUUUUUUUGAAAAUAUUGCUUUAUUGUCUUUUUCCUUCUGCUUCACUAUUGAGAAAUCUGAUGAUUCUUAUUUUUUUGGAGAGGAUUCACUUUUUUCUUUUGGAAAACCUCUCUUUUUGGUUACCUGAAAUUUUAGAAUAAAUACCUAGUUAAUUUUUUCACUGUUACUUACCAUGUUUAAAACUCAACAAGCUUCUUUAAUCUUUUCAGAUUAUUUUCUGGUGCAUUUAUUAUAAAUAUCAACUACUUAGAUCAUCUAUGUCACUUAUCUUCUCUUAUGUUUUCUUCUUGAUCUUUUUUAUCCCUUCUUUAUGCCUUCUGGGAAACUAUUUUGAUCAGCAGUUUCUGUUUUGUUAUUUCUUUUACCCACUGACAUUUUAAUUUCAGCAAUUAUAUUUUCAUACCCCAAAUAUCCAAGUGGUUCUUCUACAAAAUACAUUGGUUUCUUUUUCAUGUUUUCAGUGUCCUUGUUUAUUAUGCCAAAACUAUUUUAUUGUGUUUACUUUCAAUUCUUAUCAUCUUUUUAUUUCAUUAGUACUGCUUUCCUCUGGUAGCGAUUGUGCCAUCAUUUCUUUUAUUCUGUUUGGCAUUCUCAUAUACCUUAAAUAUUCCAUUUUUCAUUUCCUUGCUGCUAUCAGAUAUCAUGUCUACUAAUAGCUAACUGGAGGAAGAGUUAAGACAAUAGACCCUUGCUUGUGUUCAAGGAGAUUCAAAGGGUGGGGAGCAUGCCUCAGGGUGGAGACCCUCUGGUGUUGCUAUCAGGGCUCAAUUGUUCUCUGCCCUUUUCCCUAGGGAAUCUCUCAGUACCUCUGCCCUAAUCUCUUCUCUCCUACGGAGGCAGUUAAGGUGGGGUGAGAAGAGGUGGGAGCAAGUAAUGAGUUGGGGCUAGCUGCCCACCUUUAGCAUAGCUGUUAUAUCCCUACCUCAGCCAACUGGCAGCUUCAGCUCUCCUGCUUUUCCUGGCUCAGGUACAUUCCUAUGCCAUGACAACAGCAAGGCAGAAUUUGCUCCCCCCCAGGGCAAUGUGAGAGAGGGAGAAACAACACAACCCAAGAUCUCUCCCAAUCAUCUCUGCCUCUGAAAAGAUUUUGUCACAGUUUUUCAGUUUGUUUUUUGAGACUGGGUCUGUGACAAUCAGUAACCGUAUCCUUCUGGUCUUAUUUCCAGAAUUGAGUUUUGAGGGAGGGUGCCAGCAGUUUCUGCCAGUUUGCCUUUUUGUUUCUCUCCAUAAAAAUGGUUUGGUACAUUUUUAAUGCAACUAUUCCACUUUAGGAACUUAGUUCUGGAUGAGAAAAAAU
rnacentral:lncRNA from 1 species